ensembl:lncRNA
AGCCUACUCCCAUUGCCUCCUAGGGUCCAGGGCUGGAGAUACCCCAAUGCUAGAGGCUUUCCCUCAGCUGCAGCUCCCCAGGGCUUUUCUUGGCAGUGCUGGGAUAGAGAAGAGCCAUCAUCUCUCCAUUGCAUCCACCUCCCGCAGAGACCGAUCCCUGCAGUGCUGGCACUCUGCUAGGUCAAUGCCGUGGAAACAGCAGAGCCCCAUGGGGUUAUGGGGUACCAGCUCCCAGCCCCUUGGGAAGGCAUCUCAGUGCCCAAAGGUGCCAGGGGAGCAUGGAGUGCCCUCACUGUGAUGCUGAUUAACGUGGCCCCAUGGAUGGAGGGAAGUGUUCUCAAGGCAAGGAUGGGAUGAUGGAAGGAUGUCCUGAUCCUCCCAGGUGAAGACUUCUCCAUGCUAUAGGGGUGCCAAUGCCUGGGACACGCUUGCCCUGUCCCCAUUCUCACAUCCAAAUGAAGUUCAUCCCAACUCGGAGAGCAGAUUGUCCAUUUUUCCACCCUGUGCUUUACAGAGAGCCCUGGCACUGAGGGGUGCCAAGGUGCCCAAACUGCCCCCAAGAAAGGACUUAGUCCCCUGCCACUGGGACCAAGGAAAAGUCCCCAAACACCCAGCAUGGUCGUGCCCCUCCCAUGGGCCACCUCCUAUCCAUAUACAACAAAGCCUGGCAGCGAAUUAAUCUUCAACUGGGCACCGAGGAUUGUUGCUGGAACUUUAUUACAUCGUGUCCUGCCCAGCGCAGCGUUAACCAUUAACCCGGUGGCUCUGAUAUCAGCUCCAGCACCCUGCACUUCAGCUAUCCCUGACAGCAUCUUAUCUGAUCGCACGGCCAUAAAUCUGGGCAUGGAGCUGCCUGAAAGCACCCACGCCUGCAGCAACCCCAGGGAGUUAUCGUGGGGUGAGAAGGAGGAAGAAGGAGCAGGUGAAGGUGGCAACGCCUCGCUUCUCCCACGUCCUUCGAGGGUGUCCUCUGCUCUGCAGGGGGAACGUUAGGAGGGGAUGUCUUCACGGCUGGCACUUCUUGGCCAGGUGCUGUGGAUUGAGUUCGCUUUGUUUUCCAUUCACACCCUUUAUGCGCGCAAUCUGUAACAGCUGCAAUUCUUCCUCCUCCUGACAACUGUCACUGACCCCCCACCAAAGGUAAUUAAAAAGGAGAGGAAAGCUCAUUUCCUCCAAAGCCAAGCCCUGCCUGGCACCCUGCCCC